UCGAGUCUUUGAACGCAAGUUGCGCCCGAGGCCAUCCGGUCGAGGGCACGUCCGCCUGGGCGUCAAGCGUUGCGUCGCUCCGUGCCUGCUCCAUCCCGCCCGACGGGCGUGCCGGUCCAGGCUCGGAUGCGCAGAGUGGCUCGUCGUGCCCGACGGCGCG
rnacentral:rRNA from 1 species